rnacentral:ncRNA from 2 species
CUCUUAUCGAGAGCGGCAGAGGGACUAGGCCCUACGACGCCCGGCAACCAUCAAGCAUAGACUUGAAAAGGUGCUAAAUCCUACAGAUCCGGUGAUCUGAAAGAUAAGGG